rnacentral:misc_RNA from 1 species
UCUCCGUUGGUGAACCAGCGGAGGGAUCAUUACAGGACUCUAAAGACUCCUUCACCCUGUGAACUUAACUACAAGCACGUCGCUUCGGCGGGUUCCUCGGCGAGUUUCCUCCCUCCCCGUUGCGCGAAUCCCGCCGGCAGCCCACCAUACUCUAUCUCUCUUCGUUGGAAUCUCGAGUACAAUCAAACAAGUUAAAACUUUCAACAACGGAUCUCUUGGUUCUG